CAAUCAUCCGAAAUCACGUGAUAUGAAUCGGACAGUGGGGCGCCGCCUGACCCACAAGUUGGUCAGAAGGUUCAAAUCAACGUUUCAUAUCGAACUUCCCAAAAGGCGGUAAUGCAUUUUUUUUUAUUGUGCUGAAACUAGAAGAAAAUCUUCUGAUGUCCUUUCCCUUCGUCAAAGGUGCAAAACCCUUGUGUCCUGAUUCAACAGACACUUCCCUUGAUCGAACCCGUCACACAACUCUUCAAGAGGGCCACGACGCUCCAGAUCGCCUCCUGUGCUCAGAGGUCCCUGAUGAGGAUCUAGCCCAUUACACCACUCUUAUUAAUCAUUCAUCAAAUAAAACAAGGGCCCUUU